GUAGUCCACGCCAUAAACGAUGUGUGCUAGGUUUCUGAGGACUAGACCCCUUGGGAGCCGAAGCAAACGCUGAAGCACACCGCCUGGGAAGUACGGCCGCAAGGCUAAAACUCAAAGGAAUUGACGGGGGCCCGCACAAGCAGCGGAGCGUGUGGUUUAAUUCGAUGCUACGCGAAGAACCUUACCCGGUCUUGACAUGCUCGUGGUAGAGAGGCGAAAGCCCGACGACCCGCAAGGGAGCGAGCACCGGUGCUGCAUGGUUGUCGUCAGCUCGUGUCGUGAGAUGUUGGGUUAAGUCCCGCAACGAGCGCAACCCUCGGUGGCUGUUGCACGUACCAGCCGCGACUGCCUGGACCAACCAGGA
rnacentral:rRNA from 1 species